AUGCCUUGCGCGCCGCGGGCCCAGAGACGUGAGGCUGUCGGCGUCCUGGUGGCCCCGCCUCGUGUCCCCCCCCGGACCCCACGCCGCGGGAGCUUGGGGGUUGCGGUCUUCUCUUCCUCCGACCUCACCUUCGAUGCGGAAGCGCAGGGGCAGGUGCGCCGCCCUCGGCCCGCGCAGGCGGUGGGCCCGUCUGGGGCAAGGCGCCCGGAAGCGCCUGGUUGGUUCAGAAAAUCGGACCGCAGCGGGAGGGCGGGCACCGGCGCGUGGUCUCAGUGGCCCCAGGCGAACCCUGAUGAGCAGCAGCCGCAAGUGGCUUACUAAAGGAGCCACUUUCUACGUUUGUCUGGAAUUUACGUGAAUUAAGCUGGCGGGCGGGCGGCCAGGCCUGUAGUCUCAGCACUUUGGGAGGCUCAGCACUUCGGGAGGCUGUGGCGGGCGGAUCACCUGAGCCUGGGAGUUGGAGACCAGCCUGCGCAACGUAGCAAGACCCUAUCUCUAAAACAGAUUCAUUAAUACUUAGCCAGGCGCGGUGGCUGAGGUCCCAGCUACUCGGCAGGCCCAGGCUGGCCUGAGCCAGACCGCUCUGGACUGUUUUAAUUUUUUCAGCCUUAAUACCUGCCAGAAUUUUUUUUUUACUAUGUAUCUUUGUCCUUACGUAUAUAAAUUUUAUAUACAAUUGAGAUUAUCCUGUAUUUGCUUUUCCCCCCUCACUUUUAUAUGGUGACUUUUCUCAUGUUAGGCUGAAUACUAACAUUUUGGAAACUGUCGGCCUGAAAACGAGCGGAGACACAGUUUCUCUAAGUAGAGAGUUUAUUUGGGCCACACUUGAGCACAAAUUCAAGGCGCCCUGAAUGUGUACUCCGAUUAGCAGUUAACAGUGGAUUUUAAAGGCAAAAAAGGGGGCCAGGGAGUGGACUAAUAGGAACUUGUUUGUGAGGAAUUCUCACUGGUUUACAGAAAUUGAUUAGUGACUGACUAUAUGUUGUUCA
rnacentral:lncRNA from 1 species